AACAACUUGCGUCCCAGAAAUAGGUGUGAAAACUGGGUUACCGAGCAAUAUUAUAUAGGUCUAGUUAUCGGCUAUACGCCCAUAGCGCUUCAACAGACCGACACGUAUAUGAUUAUAUUAAACCCUACCGACGGAGCCAGUCUGUGAGUUUCUCACACCACAAUUAGCAAGGUGUAACUGUAAUGCGGUUAGACGACUGAUUAUCCAACUUGGAUCUUGGAUGCUUACAGACGCUGGCUUCAUGAACUUGGACUCCAAAAAAAUGAGCAGAAAUUGGGCGGACCAGAAAUGAAUCACACAUAGGACAACAUUGGACUGUAGUAAGGCCGAGACGCAGAAUUAUCCAGAUGGGUGCCCAUUUUAUUUGGAUUGUUUUCAUGGUAACGUCCGGUUGGUUGAGGGACAGUCAAGCUGAUUUUUGUACCCCAUCAUCAGUUUCGACUUACGAUUGCGUCUUUCCAGACGGAUUUGAGAAACAGGCUCGCUUUGAUUCAUGCAACCGAACCAAUACGUGUCUCAACCCAUUAUUGCCUACUGUGGCAACCGGGGAAUGCAACGGCGUAACGACACAGAUAUGCU